AAAUUGAAGAGUUUGAUCAUGGCUCAGAUUGAACGCUGGCGGCAGGCCUAACACAUGCAAGUCGAACGGUAACAGGAAUCAGCUUGCUGAUUCGCUGACGAGUGGCGGACGGGUGAGUAAUGUCUGGGAAACUGCCUGAUGGAGGGGGAUAACUACUGGAAACGGUAGCUAAUACCGCAUAACGUCGCAAGACCAAAGAGG
rnacentral:rRNA from 1 species